UUGAAGAUAUAAAUAUCUUGUUUUGCCGCCAUUGAGAAUUGAUCAAAAUACCUAAAUGUGGUGAGGAAGUAAUGUAGGAAGAGGGCAAUCUGAAGGCGAGCCAACUCUGCCCCUGGACAAAACCUAGCUCCUCCGCCAAAAGGAAAUUAGUAAAGCCUCUGAGAUGGAUAACCUGAUUUUCUGGUUCCAUCCACCUCCAUGGAUUAAAACUACGUGGAUCACCGUAGACAUUUUCAUCUAAAUGGACUGCUGAAAGAAAUGGCACCACAAAGCUUCCUUUUGGAAUGACAUAAUCUGCAGGAAGGGCAACCAGGUGCUAAUCAAGAGUUGGUUGGUUUGAUAAUGUAUGACACAUGUGGUAGGAAUAGUUUGGUGUGAUUUUUUAAUUGACUGAGCUUUCUGAGUGAACUCUUUGGAGAAAUGGUAUGAUGAACUAAUUACCUUUAUAUUCUACUUGUUCUUUGGCUUCUCUCAUGAGCCAAAUGGCAAUGCCUCCUAGACGUAGAGUUUCGUCAAUUACCUGGAGAAAUAUUAAUGGUUGUUUACCCAGGGUAUAUAUUAUAGCAAGAGUUUUGUGCCAAACUGGAGUGAGGUAAUAGUGAUAGAUGAUUAAAAGAGGACUCACACAUUGAGUGAAAGGCAUAGCUUUGUAAUCUUGCCAGUGCAGGUACCAGCAUUUGCUUCAUGGCUCUGGGACAUUGUGUGAGGAAGUAAACAGCAAAGAGCAUGGUUUUAGCUGUGGUCUCAUUUCCAGCAAAUAGAAGGUUAAUGAUAAAGUCAGCAACAGCAUCAUCAGCCUGGUGAAAGAGGUGAAAUGAAAGCAUGUAAAAAAGAAGAAGAGUUGAAGAAGAAGGGGAAGAGGAAGAGGAAGAAGAAAAUAUAGUAUUAUUACCUUCAUUGCCUUGUGAUAAGCGAAGCCUGGUAAAUUGAUCGGAAG